rnacentral:lncRNA from 1 species
AUAAUAUAUUGUUUCUUCUUUUUCUCCUCCUUCUUCUCCUCCUCCUCCUUCUUCUUCUCCUCUUCCUUCUCCUUCUCCUUCUUCUCCUCCUCUUUCCUCUUCUUCUUUUCCUCCUCCUUCUUCUUCUUUUGCUUUUGUUUUUCAGCAUUGUGACUGCAGUCCAUGGAGUGAAAAAAAGGCUCAAAGUACCCUAUGUUUUAAGUCCUGAAAACUUCCCACUGCCAGGCAAGCCUGCUCCCAACUGGGCUUGCUAACCUCUGCCCCCGUGAAAUAUCUAUAAACCAAGGUCGGAGGAAUGGAGUGGAAAGCUACCUUUUGGGGACUGCUGAACAGGAAGGCGAGGGGUCCAGGUGCCCGUGGUUGCAGACAGAAGAAGCUGAUCUUCCUAUCAAAACAUGCAUGUGACAAGCAUACUUCUAAUGGAACUAUAACCCUAAUUACGCUGGCUGACCAUGAAUGGGCCUGAGAUUUUCUGGAGUCAUUUUCAUAAAAGCAGAUCUUUUGUUUGCAUGUCAUCCACGGGUAAUCCUGACUGCGCUCAAAGGCUGAGGUCAGAUUCUUCAACUGAACCCAUUCCUGCUUCAGUCUGCCAUAACUAGGACUUUCCCAUUUCAGAAAAGACAAUGUACUCGAUAGCUGGUUUUGCUAAUGAUCAUAACUGAAUAUAGGCAUAGAUUUUUUAAAUAGUAUCUGUCUGAAAUUCUUGAAAUCUGAAUUUAGUCUUAAAUUACUGUGUACUACUAUUUCCAGAUUUAUUUAAGUGUAGUCUCUGAGAAGAACAGGGCUGUGAAUUCUCC